CAUUGUUAAGAUCUUGCAUCACUUUUAAUGUGUAUAACAGCUGGUCACCAGGUAGCUAUUGCUAUAAUUUCCAUCUUACAGAUGAGGAUGGCAAGGUGCUGAGAGCUUUCGGGAAGUGCACCAUUGGUGGUGGCACCCUUGCCCUCAAAGAUGUACUACAUACAGGUUGUUUAUCCACUAUAUGCUGAGAGACAUCUUGGACACUUCUCAAUGAAGAAAACUGCUGUGAACAUUUGUGCGGACACAGUUUGUAAUUCAUUUGGGUAAAUACCAAGAAGCGUAGCUGCUGGAUCAAAUGGUGAGGAUAUAUUUAGUUUGUAAGAAACUUUAAGGAUAACUUUUCCUCUGAAUUCUUAUUGAUUUGAAGGAAAAGCAAAAAAAGCAGACAUGGUGUUGCUUUUGCGAACCGUGAGCUUCCUGAUUGACUGGGAAGAUGGUGUGUUGCUAAGUGCAUUAGCGCAGCCCUGUUGGAGACCCAUG
rnacentral:lncRNA from 1 species